rnacentral:rRNA from 1 species
GGUGAGUAACGCGUAUGCAACCUACCUGUAACAGAGGGAUAGCCCAUAGAAAUGUGGAUUAAUAUCUCAUAGUUCUAUUAGAUCGCAUGAUUUGAUAGAUAAAGCUCCGGCGGUUACAGAUGGGCAUGCGUGACAUUAGCUAGUUGGUAAGGUAACGGCUUACCAAGGCUACGAUGUCUAGGGGUUCUGAGAGGAUGAUCCCCCACACUGGUACUGAGACACGGACCAGACUCCUACGGGAGGCAGCAGUGAGGAAUAUUGGUCAAUGGGCGCAAGCCUGAACCAGCCAUCCCGCGUGCAGGAUGACGGCCCUAUGGGUUGUAAACUGCUUUUAUACACCAAGAAAAACAUCCACGUGUGGGUGCCCGACGGUAGUGUAUGAAUAAGCAUCGGCUAACUCCGUGCCAGCAGCCGCGGUAAUACGGAGGAUGCAAGCGUUAUCCGGAUUCAUUGGGUUUAAAGGGUGCGUAGGCGGCUUUUUAAGUCAGUGGUGAAAUCCUGCCGCUUAACGGUAGAAUUGCCAUUGAUACUGAAAAGCUUGAGUACAUUUGAGGUAAGCGGAAUGUGUAGUGUAGCGGUGAAAUGCUUAGAUAUUACACAGAACACCAAUUGCGAAGGCAGCUUACUAAACUGAUACUGACGCUGAUGCACGAAAGCGUGGGGAGCGAACAGGAUUA